UGUUUGUUUUCUUGUUCUUGUACACUUCGGACAGAGAACUGAGGGAACUCGGAGAAUAAAGUUCUAAGUACUUAUACGCUUUAAUUUGGGAUUUGGACGCCUCGACUUUCCCGGUGGGAGGCUGCCGGAAGUAAACGGCAUCAGUCAGAAUAAUAAUUUAAAUAUACAUAAAUUUAUUUAUAUUAAGAAUAUGAAUUAAUUUUUAAAUAAAUAUAUUUAUUUAUUUAUAAUCACUUCAUUUACGCAAAUUCAUUUUAAAAAAAUUGUGCUGCCAUAGUGAACACGUGCAAAAUAUCAGUCGACGACGCCGAAAGUUGUUGGGAAUUCCAGAAGACCACAACAGAUCGGAUGAUUCGAGAAAUCACUUCACAUUUGCCCAUACACGGUCAGAUUUGUCGAACGAUUUGGUCUCUGACGACGGAUUUGACGACAAAUUGCUCUGUGUGUGGCUACCUUAAAUUCAGUCGAACGAUAUGUAAAUCUGCCGACAGGUGUGAACGAUCCGUCUCAACCAAGGUCUCAACGACGAAUCUGAACGAUUGGUCUCAGCGAUGGAUCUGACGAUGAAUCGUUCCGUGUGUGGAGUCCUACAAUCGGUCUGACGAUUCGGCAGUUUGGCGACGGAUCGGAGGAUGGAUCGCACCGUGUGUGUGGACCGUCGGAUGAUGAUCGAUCGAAACGAUCUGUCGUUGUGAUCGGUCUCACGACAAAUCGCUCCGUAUGUGGCGGCCCUUAUAGUUCAUUUAUUUCCCC
rnacentral:lncRNA from 1 species